CCCCUCCCCCGGAUACACCUGCCCAGCACUUCCUGUGUGCAGAGCACUGAGCUGAGCCCUUGGGAAAGAAGAAGAGAACAAUAACCAGCCACCGUCCCCGCCCACCCCGAGUUCUCAGCCUGGAGUCUAACCGUAGAUGAGGGAACCGAGGC